rnacentral:rRNA from 1 species
AGGACGAACGCUGGCGGCGUGCCUAAUGCAUGCAAGUCGAGCGACGAAUAGGUGCGGGUAACCAAGCCUAUUACGGAGCGGCGAACGGGUGAGUAACACGUGAGCGACCUGCCCCGAAGACCGGGAUAGCCCAGGGAAACUUGGAUUAAUACCGGAUAUCCUCCUUUGAUCGCAUGGUCGUUGGAAGAAAUGCUUUUACGCUUCGGGAUGGGCUCGCGGCCUAUCAGUCUUGUUGGUGGGUAACGGCCUACCGAAGGCGUCGACGGGUAGCGUGGUCUGAGAGGACGAUCAGCCACACGUGGGACUGAGACACGGCCCAGACUCCGUACGGGAGCAGCAGCGAGGGUAUUUGCG